CUUAAAUUGAAGAGUUUGAUCAUGGCUCAGAUUGAACGCUGGCGGCAGGCCUAACACAUGCAAGUCGAGCGGUAGCACGGGGGAGCUUGCUCCUUGGGUGACGAGCGGCGGACGGGUGAGUAAUGUCUGGGAAACUGCCUGAUGGAGGGGGAUAACUACUGGAAACGGUAGCUAAUACCGCAUAACCUCGCAAGAGCAAAGAGGGGGACCUUCGGGCCUCUCGCCAUCAGAUGUGCCCAGAUGGGAUUAGCUAGUAGGUGAGGUAAUGGCUCACCUAGGCGACGAUCCCUAGCUGGUCUGAGAGGAUGACCAGCCACACUGGAACUGAGACACGGUCCAGACUCCUACGGGAGGCAGCAGUGGGGAAUAUUGCACAAUGGGCGCAAGCCUGAUGCAGCCAUGCCGCGUGUGUGAAGAAGGCCUUCGGGUUGUAAAGCACUUUCAGCGGGGAGGAAGGCGGUAAGGUUAAUAACCUUAUCGAUUGACGUUACCCGCAGAAGAAGCACCGGCUAACUCCGUGCCAGCAGCCGCGGUAAUACGGAGGGUGCAAGCGUUAAUCGGAAUGACUGGGCGUAAAGCGCACGCAGGCGGUCUGUUAAGUUGGAUGUGAAAUCCCCGGGCUUAACCUGGGAACUGCAUUCAAAACUGACAGGCUAGAGUCUUGUAGAGGGGGGUAGAAUUCCAGGUGUAGCGGUGAAAUGCGUAGAGAUCUGGAGGAAUACCGGUGGCGAAGGCGGCCCCCUGGACAAAGACUGACGCUCAGGUGCGAAAGCGUGGGGAGCAAACAGGAUUAGAUACCCUGGUAGUCCACGCUGUAAACGAUGUCGAUUUGGAGGUUGUGCCCUUGAGGCGUGGCUUCCGGAGCUAACGCGUUAAAUCGACCGCCUGGGGAGUACGGCCGCAAGGUUAAAACUCAAAUGAAUUGACGGGGGCCCGCACAAGCGGUGGAGCAUGUGGUUUAAUUCGAUGCAACGCGAAGAACCUUACCUACUCUUGACAUCCAGAGAAUUUGCUAGAGAUAGCUUAGUGCCUUCGGGAACUCUGAGACAGGUGCUGCAUGGCUGUCGUCAGCUCGUGUUGUGAAAUGUUGGGUUAAGUCCCGCAACGAGCGCAACCCUUAUCCUUUGUUGCCAGCGAUUCGGUCGGGAACUCAAAGGAGACUGCCGGUGAUAAACCGGAGGAAGGUGGGGAUGACGUCAAGUCAUCAUGGCCCUUACGAGUAGGGCUACACACGUGCUACAAUGGCGUAUACAAAGAGAAGCGACCUCGCGAGAGCAAGCGGACCUCAUAAAGUACGUCGUAGUCCGGAUUGGAGUCUGCAACUCGACUCCAUGAAGUCGGAAUCGCUAGUAAUCGUAGAUCAGAAUGCUACGGUGAAUACGUUCCCGGGCCUUGUACACACCGCCCGUCACACCAUGGGAGUGGGUUGCAAAAGAAGUAGGUAGCUUAACCUUCGGGAGGGCGCUUACCACUUUGUGAUUCAUGACUGGGGUGAAGUCGUAACAAGGUAACCGUAGGGGAACCUGCGGUUGGAUCACCUCCUUACCAAGAAG
rnacentral:rRNA from 1 species